AUACGGAGGGGGUUAGCGUUGUUCGGAAUUACUGGGCGUAAAGCGUACGUAGGCGGACUGGAAAGUUGGGGGUGAAAUCCCGGGGCUCAACCCCGGAACUGCCUCCAAAACUUCCAAUCUAGAGAUCGAGAGAGGUGAGUGGAAUUCCAAGUGUAGAGGUGAAAUUCGUAGAUAUUUGGAGGAACACCAGUGGCGAAGGCGGCUCACUGGCUCGAUAUUGACGCUGAGGUACGAAAGCGUGGGGAGCAAACAGGAUUAGAAACCCUAGUAGUCC
rnacentral:rRNA from 1 species